UCUGGUGCCAGCAGCCGCGGUAAUUCCAGCUCCAAUAGCGUAUAUUAAAGUUGUUGCGGUUAAAAAGCUCGUAGUUGGAAUUGUGUCCCACGCCGCUUGUCCGUCGCCCGUCGACGUGACUCGCGGUUGUGAGUGGGGCGUCAAGCCGGUGGUCGUGCAGGUGCGGGCUCCGUCUCAAUCGCGUCGACCCUAAUCGGUUUGCGUCGUGCGAGCGGUCCCGUGGCCGGACACCAUGUUACCCGCCUCGGUGCUCUUAAUCGAGUGUCUUGGUGGGCCGGCUCGUUUACUUUGAACAAAUUAGAGUGCUUAAAGCAAGCUCACACGCUUGGAUGUUGCGUGCAUGGAAUAAUGAAAUAGGAUCUUGGUUCUAUUUUGUUGGUUUUCUGAACUGGAGAUAAUGAUCAAUGGAGACGGACGGGGGCAUUGGUAUUGCGACGUUAGAGGUGAAAUUCUUGGAUCGUCGCAAGACUAACAGAAGCGAAGGCGUUUGCCAAGAACGCUCUCAUUAAUCAAGAACGAAAGUUAGAGGUUCGAAGGCGAUCAGAUACCGCCCUAGUUCUAACCAUAAACGAUGUCGACCAGCAAUCCGUCGGUGUUCCUCCGAUGACCCGACGGGCAGCUUCCGGGAACCAAAGUGUUUGGGUUCCGGGGGAAGUAUGGUUGCAAAGCUCAAACUUAAAGGAAUUGACGGAAGGGCACCACCAGGAGUGGAGCCUGCGGCUUAAUUUGACUCAACACGGGAAACCUCACCAGGCCCGGACACUGGAAGGAUUGACAGAUUGAUAGCUCUUUCUUGAUUCAGUGGGUGGUGGUGCAUGGCCGUUCUUAGUUGGUGGAGCGAUUUGUCAGGUUAAUUCCGAUAACGAACGAGACUCUGGCCUGCUAACUAGUCGCGUCCGUGCAUGAAGGUUCUGCCGGCGACUGCGGGAGCCCUAACCGGCUCCCCACUUCUUAGAGGGACUGGCGGCUUGUAGCCGCACGAGAUUGAGCAAUAACAGGUCUGUGAUGCCCUUAGAUGUUCUGGGCCGCACGCGCGCUACACUGAAGGCAUCAACGUGUGUGUAAUAUUUUCCUUGGCCGAAAGGUCCGGGUAACCCGCUGAAACGCCUUCGUGCUAGGGAUUGGGGAUUGCAAUUGUUCCCCAUGAACGAGGAAUUCCCAGUAAGCGCGAGUCAUAAGCUCGCGCUGACUACGUACCCUGCCCUUUGUACACACCGCCCGUCGCUACUACCGAUUGAAUGAUUUAGCGAGGUCUUUGGACCGUCGCGCGGCGGUUCGUCCGUCGUCGCUGUACGGGAAGCUGAUCGAGCUUGGUUAUUUAGAGGAAGUAAA
rnacentral:rRNA from 1 species